GAACGCUGGCGGCGUGUUUAAGACAUGCAAGUCGCACGGGAUACAUUGAGUAGUAAUACAAGAUGUGUCUAGUGGCGCACGGGUGAGUAACACGUGAAUUACAUGCCCUUCAGUGGGGAAUAGCCCAGGGAAACUUGGAUUAAUACCCCAUGGUAUCGCAAGAUUAAAGGUGGCCAGCAAUGGCUGUCGCUGAAGGAUUGGUUCGCGCCCUAUCAGCUUGUUGGUGAGGUAACGGCUCACCAAGGCUACGACGGGUACCUGGUCUGAGAGGACGAUCAGGCACACUGGAACUGAGACACGGUCCAGACACCUACGGGUGGCAGCAGUCGAGAAUAAUUCACAAUGGGGGCAACCCUGAUGGUGCAACGCCGCGUGGAGGAUGACGGUCUUCGGAUUGUAAACUCCUGUCAUCUGGGAGUAAGACCUGGUCGUUAAUAGCGAACAGGGUUGAUAGUACCAGAAGAGGAAGGGACGGCUAACUUCGUGCCAGCAGCCGCGGUAAUACGAAGGUCCCAAGCGUUGUUCGGAAUCACUGGGCGUAAAGGGAGCGUAGGCGGCGUGGUAAGUCAGAUGUGAAAUCCCGGGGCUCAACCCCGGAACUGCAUCCCGAUACUGCCAUGCUAGAGGAUUGGAGAGGUAGCUGGAAUUCUUGGUGUAGCAGUGAAAUGCGUGGAUAUCAAGAGGAACACUCGUGGCGAAAGCGAGCUACUGGACAAUUCCUGACGCUGAGGCUCGAAAGCUAGGGUAGCGAAAGGGAUUAGAUACCCCUGUAGUCCUAGCAGUAAACGGUGCACGCUUGGUGUGAGGGAAUCGACCCCCCUUGUGCCGGAGCUAACGCGUUAAGCGUGCCGCCUGG
rnacentral:rRNA from 1 species